rnacentral:rRNA from 1 species
ACUCCUACGGGAGGCAGCAGUGGGGAAUUUUGGACAAUGGGCGAAAGCCUGAUCCAGCCAUUCCGCGUGCAGGAUGAAGGCCCUCGGGUUGUAAACUGCUUUUGUACAGAACGAAAAGGUUUCUACUAAUACUAGGAGCUCAUGACGGUACUGUAAGAAUAAGCACCGGCUAACUACGUGCCAGCAGCCGCGGUAAU